rnacentral:rRNA from 1 species
AAAGAAGAGGCAAAGCCGCGAGGUGGAGGCAAAUCUCAAAAAGACCGUCCCAGUUCGGAUUGCAGGCUGCAACCCGCCUGCAUGAAGUUGGAAUCGCUAGUAAUCGCGGAUCAGCAUGCCGCGGUGAAUACGUUCCCGGGCCUUGUACACACCGCCCGUCACACCAUGGGAGUUUGUAACGCCCAAAGUCGGUGGCCUAACCUUUAUGGAGGGAGCCGCCUAAGGCGGGACAGAUGACUGGGGUGAAGUCGUAACAAGGUAUC